CCUACGGGUGGCAGCAGUGGGGAAUAUUGCACAAUGGGGGAAACCCUGAAGCAGCAACGCCGCGUGAGUGAGGAAGUAUUUCGGUAUGUAAAGCUCUAUCAGCAGGGAAUAGAAAAGAAGGUCCUUGAUACAGAAGCCCCGGCUAACUACGUGCCAGCAGCCGCGGUAAUACGUAGGGGGCAAGCGUUAUCCGGAUUUACUGGGUGUAACGGGAGCGUAGGCGGAAAGGCAAGUCAGAAGUGAAAGCCCAAGGCUCAACAAUGGAACUGCUUUUGAAACUGUCAAACUAGAGUACGUGUGAGGUAAGAGGAAUGCCUGGUGUAGCGGUGAAAUGCGUAGAUAUUAGGAGGAACACC
rnacentral:rRNA from 1 species